rnacentral:lncRNA from 10 species
AGGACCAAGGCGCUCGCCAGAGUCCGCGCCGCCAUCCCUGGCGGGAACCAGGGACCGAGGACUGUGCGGGGACGGGGACGUGGACGGGCUCCGCGCCGGUGAUGGGGGAGGGGUUCCGAACGCCCGCGGAUUGUGGGAGGGAGGAGGCUCCGAACAGUCGGGAAGCCUAGUGGAGGAGGGGACUGGGGACAAGGGGGCUGCCAACACCCAGCGACGGAGACGGGGACUCCGACAUGGCACUUGUUGGAGGGUCUCACGAAACUCAGGAACUGGGUCUCUUCUGAGGUAGACAGACCACAACUGCAGAGCAUCGUCAGACAGGAGAUAAAUACGUCCAUGUACAACACGCAGCAAAAUGAGCCCACAUUUGGAAGCAACCGGCACCCACGCAGGUUCUGGAACUUGCCAAGGUCAGUGUCUUUUCCACCUCCAGAAUUAUCUCUUCCUUGCCAC